UACGGAGGGUGCAAACGUUGCUCGGAAUUAUUGGGCGUAAAGCGCACGUAGGCGGACUGCCAAGUCGGAUGUGAAAGCCCUCGGCUUAACCGAGGAAGUGCACUCGAAACUGGCAGUCUUGAGUACUGGAGAGGGUCGCGGAAUUCCCGGUGUAGAGGUGAAAUUCGUAGAUAUCGGGAGGAACACCAGUGGCGAAGGCGGCGACCUGGACAGAUACUGACGCUGAGGUGCGAAAGCGUGGGGAGCAAACAGG
rnacentral:rRNA from 1 species